rnacentral:rRNA from 1 species
AUUGAACGCUGGCGGCAGGCUUAACACAUGCAAGUCGAGCGGGGGAUGUUACUUCGGUAACUGACCUAGCGGCGGACGGGUGAGUAAUGCUUAGGAAUCUGCCUAUUAGUGGGGGACAACAUUCCGAAAGGAAUGCUAAUACCGCAUACGCCCUACGGGGGAAAGCAGGGGAUCUUCGGACCUUGCGCUAAUAGAUGAGCCUAAGUCAGAUUAGCUAGUUGGUGGGGUAAAGGCCUACCAAGGCGACGAUCUGUAGCGGGUCUGAGAGGAUGAUCCGCCACACUGGGACUGAGACACGGCCCAGACUCCUACGGGAGGCAGCAGUGGGGAAUAUUGGACAAUGGGCGGAAGCCUGAUCCAGCCAUGCCGCGUGUGUGAAGAAGGCCUUUUGGUUGUAAAGCACUUUAAGCGAGGAGGAGGCUACCGAGACUAAUACUCUUGGAUAGUGGACGUUACUCGCAGAAUAAGCACCGGCUAACUCUGUGCCAGCCGCCGCUGUAAGAC